AAAAUAUUCUAGUUUAAAUACAACCCACAUGCAAUUAAAAAUAAUGAUACAUCAUCCAUUUUCUGAAACUAGUAACUUUAUGUAUCUCAAACUCAAAAGAAUUGGAAAUUUACCAUUGAACAGGCUAGUCUUAUCUCUAGUAUCCUUGUAUUGCCGUAGACAUUGAAAUAGACGAAAUAGAUAAGGCAAUACAAGAACUAUAGGAAUGGCAACUGAGUGACUGCCACAAACAGAAUCACCUUCAAACCAUGCAAUCGUAGCAACCUGUCGAUGAACCAUUCUACAUACUGAACGCUCCAAAUCAGAAAAUACCUUUGACAUAGAUGUUAAUAUAUCAGCCAGGAAGAAGUCAGCAAAAGCUAUUGCCUGCAGCGGGAAAACUAUCCUCCAAAGUGUUCUUAACAAAAAGUAGCGAGAUGAUAAAUAGAAAAUAUGAAAGGGACAAAGCAGAGCCAUGGCGAAAGCAGCAUAUAGGAGCACUGGUUGAGAUGCAGCCAACGAAACUUCUCCAUUUGAAUAGAGAUAAAGAUAGGCUGUCAUGCUAGUUGGCACGAUGAUGGUCAUCCAGGUAGCACACUUCCAAAUCUGUGUGUGAGAGAGAUGAUUUUGAUCGAGGUCAAAAAUUUUAGGAAAGUUAACAUCAGCCUGUGCAAAAACCCAUAGGUUGAUGCCCCAAAGCCAAACCAUUAUGGUCACAAGUAGCAAAGGAUUGUAAUAAAGAAAAGCCUCAUACAGAAAAAGAUCACGGAGGUUUAAACUCAUUCUCUUGACUGAAUCCCAGCUGAUCUUGCAACAGGUAACACCCCAAAUGAUAAACAGUAACACAUGAAGAUUAAAUUUUACAAGAGGAGAUGGAAUUAUGGUUGUAGUGGCCUUGGCGUCUGUGGUAUCUUCUUCAAAAACACUAGCAGCAGCAUCUUCAAGUAUACCUGAUAGAUAGAUAGAUUAAUAGCAUAAUUAACCUAUAUUAUAUAAGUAUAUUUUCAAUACCAAUAUCAUAAACAACUAGUCGGCUUCCUGAUUUCCGCAGAUGUGAACUGUUGGCAGGAGAAUCCAUAAGUAGACGACAACUUCAGCUUCUGACAAACAUUAAUUAUUAAUAUCACCUCAUUUCCAACAACAAUUAUCUCCAACU
rnacentral:misc_RNA from 1 species